GGUGGCUCAAUGGUAGAGCACUUGCCUUGCAUGCAUGAGGCCCUGGGUUUGAUUCCUCAGUACUA
rnacentral:tRNA from 1 species